GCAAAUAUCCCAUUCAGAGUCAAAAUGCACAGACCCUCCCUGCGGGUCGAGUCAACGCGCUGGUCUGCCCCCCCAUACGGCGUCGUUUCACCUUUACUACUUACAUUAAAAAAAAAACAAUUUUAAAAUCCUUUGAUUUUUGCUUUUAGAAAAAAAAAAAACCCUAUGCCCCCAAAUCUCUUUCCCUUUUCUCUCCAGCCGAAAGGCUUUUAUCUUGCCCCCUAACCACCCAAAAUCCGACUGCGAAGAGCGGAGUUGAGCCCAAAUCGUAGAGAUUUUGGGCUGGAGUUGAGUCCCCUUAAUAGUCGAAUACCACUAGUCUUUCGCUAUUUUCUUGCCCAAAUCGUAGGUGUUGUGAGGACGUGGAGGAGGAGUGCACGAACGUGGGGCGUGCGACGCUCGUGCUGGAGUGGCGCACGACAUGGGCGGCAGCUGAAACACUGCAGGGUAGGGAUUUUCCUUUUUUUGCUUGUUUUUUCUAAUUUGUUGUGGGCUAGGGUAAUUUGGGCUGUAAUUGGGUAUUUGGUUUUUGGUUUAUUUGGGUAUUGGGCUUAUUAGGUUGGUUUUAUUUUGUAUGUUUUGGGUUUGUUGGGCCCGGGCAAAAAUUGGGUCUACAGCAAUGAUACAAAUGUUUGUGCACUCUUUCAUCUUGAUCCUAUACUUUGGAAAUUGGUUAGCCACAUGGAUCCUUAGAUAACCUUAAGAAUUGUACUUAAGACAAUAACAUUGAUUUGUUACAUCAAAAGAAACAUGGUAUCCUAGAAGCACUCUUCGGCUAUCAUAAUUUAAUAAAAUAAAACUAAUGAAUCAAGCAAUUAACUAUUUAGUCAUCAGAAAUUCAAAAUAAUAAUAGUCAGUGCAUAUUUCACAUUAUCCUUACAUUUAUAAAUCAGUUUAUUUUCAAAAUAGAAUUAGCAAAAACAAAAUAUUUAUACCUGUGCAAUAUAAGGAUAGGCCUCAUCCACGAUAGCAAUAUCAGGAUUCCCCACUAAAGCUAUUCCUUCCAACACCCCAAUUGCCCUAAUUAUAAGAGCAAAAUAAGGGGUAUCCUAAAUGGAUAAUCAAAUGUUAUCUGCGCCAAAUCUGAUGCCAGGUCUUGAAAGUUGAUGUUUUUUACACCCCCACCCUCAAGUGCUUGAUCAAAAACCUUUGCCAGAACGGGCAAGAUUGGCAUAAAAAGGGAGAAGAGUAAUAAGAUUUGCUCAUGUAUAUUACACACUAUAACCAUGUCGGAGAUAUGCUUAUAUCAAAACACUCACACAUUUUCCCUAAAACGAAUGAGAUUUUGGGUCCGUUUGUUUACAUGUAAAAGGUUUUACAGAAAAUAUUUUCUGCAUUUUCUUGUGUUUGUUUCACAGAAAAUAGUUUGGUCAACGGAAAAUUACUUACAGGUCAAGGUAAAAUAAGCCCUUUUUCUUGUAAAAUGACUUACCAUUUUGAAAAGCGUAAGUCGUUUUCUGGAAAAGAGCUCAUCUAUAGAUAAUUUUAUUUGUAUAUAAAAAUUAACUUAUAUCAAGCUUAAUAUUAUUAUAUUGAUAAUAAAUUUUAUUUUAUUUUUAAAAAACAUUUAAAAUAUUAUAUUUUUCAAUAUUAUUAAACAUACAUAUUUAAUUAUUUAUAUUUAGUCAUAUAAUAAAUUAUUAAUAUACAAAUAUAAUUUAUUAUUUUAAUAAAUUAUUUAAUAUUUUAAUUUUAUUUUAAUAAUAAAUUUUAAAAAUAAUAAUUUUAAAUAAUAUUAUUGACAUAUUAUUGAAAAUAUUCAAUAUUAAUAUUUUAAUAACAAAUAUUUAUUACAAUUAUAAAUAUAUUAAUAAUAUAUGUUUUGUAGUAUAAAAGUUAAAAUAUGUCAUAAGUCUAUGUACACUUCACAUAUUUGUAAUUUAGUCUUUGUACUUUUAUUUUCAAGAAUUUAGUCCCUUUACUUUUCAAAUUUGAAAAUCAAGUCAUUGUUGACAUCAUUAAUUUUUUUUUUGUCAAUUUUGUUGAUGUCACAUUUUUAAAUAAAAAAUACUCAGUAGUCAUGUAAUUAAAAAAUGACGUUGUAAUAAAUUUGAAUUUAACAUAAAAGUUUUAAUAUAUGCAAAAACAAUGUAAAAUAUAAAAUUAUAGAUCAAAAUAAAUUCAAUUAAAUAAUGAAAAAAUAAGAAAAUCUCAAAUGUAUGUUUAUUUAAUUGAAAACUACUUUUAUGAAACUUUUUUAAGAAAUCUACCAAACAACAAAAAAUAUUUUACACAGAUUCAUCCAAACACCAGAAAAUAUUAACUUUUCCAGAAAAAUAAAUCAUAUUCCAGAAAUCAUUUUCCAGAAGUCAUUUUCAGUGAAACAAACAGAGCUUUUAUCUGUGUCUUGGAAAACAUUUUCCAAAUGUAAUAUGUUUUCAUGCUUUCAAACCAAACACCUUAAAAUUAAGAAAAUAUUUCAAAAAAAAGUGAACCCAGUAAGAUAUUAGCUGAAAUACUGUAUCACUAAAUUUGAUAAUUUAAGAACUUUAAUUUUCAAAUUAUUAUUUCUGUUCUCAUAAUUAAAUUGCCACUAUAAAUUCUUUUAACAAAUUUCUUAAACUUCAACCUUUACCAUUUCACAUGUUUGUAAUUAGGUUUGAUAAAAUAUAAUAUAAAUUCGAAGUUUAUAAUCAAAUACAAAUUUCAAUUUUUAUUGACAAACAAUUUACCUUUUUUCACACACUGCAUUAAAGUACUAUAUAUUUAUUAUCAUUUUAUAAUUUAUAAGUUCUGUCACAUUAGUUCUUGGCAAACAAUUUUAAUUUUGAAAGAUGAGAAUUCUUUAGAUUUAAGAGAAAAGAAGGUAUAUACAAUAAUCGGCUUUACAAUUCUCUUCCUGUAAUUUCCGACCAACUCUUAAAAUUUGGGACCAACCACUUCAAUACCAGCUUCUCUCUUUUUCAACUUUUCCCCGUCUCCCUAAUAUGCAAACUCCAGGAUAGACAAAAUUUUGGCAAAAGCAUCCCAAAAUUUGGGUAAAAAUAUAUUAAAAAAUUGAAAGCUAAACCUAAAUUUUGCCAAAUUUGCAGGUCCUAAUUAGAUAUAUAUAUACAUUCUUUUUACAGACAAGCAGCUGGCUUCAAUCAGUUAGCUUUGAUACGAACUGGCCGGAAUCAAAGUCUAGCACGCUGUGAUCCAAAAACCCGUGUGGUGCUUCAGUAAUUUAAUCUUUAGGCGUACCACC
rnacentral:lncRNA from 1 species